rnacentral:rRNA from 1 species
UACAGAGGUCCCGAGCGUUGUUCGGAUUCAUUGGGCGUAAAGGGUGCGUAGGUGGCGCUGUAAGUGGGGUGUGAAAUCCCGGGGCUUAACCCCGGGACUGCAUUCCAUACUGCGGUGCUUGAGGACUGGAGAGGAGACUGGAAUUUACGGUGUAGCAGUGAAAUGCGUAGAGAUCGUAAGGAAGACCAAUGGCGAAGGCAGCUCGCUGGGACGGUACUGACGCUGAGACGCGAAAGCGUGGGGAGCAAACAGG